rnacentral:rRNA from 1 species
GUGGGGAAUAUUGGACAAUGGGCGAAAGCCUGAUCCAGCCAUGCCGCGUGUGUGAAGAAGGUCUUCGGAUUGUAAAGCACUUUAAGUUGGGAGGAAGGGCAGUAAAUUAAUACUUUGCUGUUUUGACGUUACCCACAGAAUAAGCACCGGCUAACUCUGUGCCAGCAGCCGCGGUAAUACAGAGGGUGCAAGCGUUAAUCGGAAUUACUGGGCGUAAAGCGCGCGUAGGUGGUUUGUUAAGUUGGAUGUGAAAUCCCCGGGCUCAACCUGGGAACUGCAUUCAAAACUGACGAGCUAGAGUAUGGUAGAGGGUGGUGGAAUUUCCNGUGUAGCGGUGAAAUGCGUAGAUAUCGGAAGGAACACCGGUGGCGAAGGCGACCACCUGGACUAGAUACUGACACUCAGGUGCGAAAGCGUGGGGAGCAAACAGGAUUAGAUACCCCCGUAGUCCGG